CACGGGAAACAACACGAUCGGGGCGACGGCGCAUCUUUAGGAGACGAUCGGUAUGAGAGGAGAGGGGAGGAGAAGGAGAGGUCUGGCGGCGGCUAAAGAGGUGCUCGCCGGCGCGCACAGUUGGAUCGGGGCGCUUCCACCGCGACGCCCCCAUCCCAAAAGAUCCGGCGCUCCCCGCCGCCUGCCCACCUACCCACGCGACGCUACCACUCCCCUCCACCUCCCCACGCGACGCCGCCAGCCCCAAGGGUGCCCACCCCGUCGCCCGGUCGCUGCACCAGCGCCUCCCGGUCGCCCUCGCCGGCCCUCCCCGCCGGCCCCACGUCGUACCCGUCGUCUCCUCAAUCCGUAGCCAGGGGACACGCCAGCGCCCUCCCAGUGGCCCUCGCCGUCCCUCCCCGCCGUCUCCCCAAUCCACAGCCAGGGGACACGCCAAGAACCUUCAGUCAUGAGGCCGUCGCGCGGGAGGUCUUCCAUCUCAGUUUUGUUUUAUUUACGGGUGUUGUCAACAAUUUCAUCACACCCACUGCUUGACCACAGAGGUAGUUGCCGCCUGCAGCCAUUCACAUGCCGUCACCUGCAUCUCCUCUGUGCGUUCCCGUCUCUCCAUGCCGCACGAGGAUGCAGUCAUCACAUCCUUGAGUAGGUAAUUUAUCAAUUGAUAGCUUUUCUCCCUGCUAUGACUUGCAUCUUUCUACCUUGCUUCAAAUUUAAUUUGAUUGGGGUCUGUUUGAUUCAAUGUCAAAUGAAGAUCAACUUUAUCUCUGAUUGAUUCAUGCAAGUGGAAGCUGAAUUAUAUUCUGAAGAUUCUGAUUAUUACUUGCAAGUUAUAUUCUAACACAUUGUCCUUGGUUUAACAACUUGCAAGUGUUUCUUGUAGUGGUUUUAACCCCAUAAUAAAGGACUUGCAGGUGGACAUCUGCUAUAAAUAAUCAGGUACUUCUUUCUCAUUAUCAAAUUCAAAUGCUCAGUGAAACUAUCCAAUGGAUGAACUGGUUGUUUAACACUGAAUCAUCAACACUUUAUUCUCUUCUUUUCUCCUCUUCCAUUCACCGCAACAUCUGCAGUGCAUGCUUGUUACUUAUCUCUUCUCUGAGUGCUUGAACAUAAAUACUGAGAAAACCAAAUUCUCUAUGGGCAUGAAUAAUCUUUCGAUUCAUACGUAAAAAUCAAAAUGUGGUUCCAGAGGUCGGGGGUAAUCCUCCUUUUCUAAAAAAAAAAGUUCCGGGAGGUAUGGCGUGAUUUCUCUGCUGGUAUGUGUGUGUGUUGCUUGUUUGUCUGCUGCCGGGAGGAUUGCACAGUGCCGAUGCCGGGAGCCAGGGGUCAUCGGAAAAUUGAGAUGCCGAAGUCGAUCACUCAAAACGAGCCUUACUUGGCAGUGACUGAAUCCUCCACAAAUUAUUUGAUGACAUUGAGCCUUGCUUGGCAUUGACUGAAUCCAACAGUGGCGAGCUUGUAUCCCAGACAACCUCUUCGUCUUGAUUUUUUAGAAGCUAACUCACUUCAAAAGGAGGCCUGGAUUACCUUAUAUUCAGCAUUGGUCACAUAGAAUAGAUUUUUUUUAUGAUGAAGAAGUUUGACAGGAACCUAUCCGAGAAUCAUGCUGGUUUGUGCACUGCAGUUUGCACGAGGUUCAGACGUGUGGCCAGCUGGGCACCGCCUAUAUAUCUAAACCUGAAAAAGCUUACUAUAUAGAUUGGCAGAAUAAAAUAAAAUUCAUAAAUCACUUUAGUUUUCACUAAUGCAGCUAGGGCCAGCACCCACUAUCAAAAGAGACAGCCUCAACAACGGACAGGGUGGCGGAGUAGUCACAUUCCCACCAUACAUAUACUACUAGCUAUACUUCUGGAGCAAAUUCUUUGUCGUAGUCAUCAGGCUGCGGAUGUCGUUGCCGGGAUACACGCUCUCCAAGGUCUCCGGCCAUAUAGGCCCAUGAGGGAUGCAGGGCAUGUUACUCUAUGCAGCAUCAUGACCACAAUGGUGUCUUGGUUUUGAAAAUACUAUUUGAAUGGCAUCACAACAUUUAGUACACACUUUUUCGCAACAGUUGCUUUAUUUUUAUACCAUGUGAAUCUCCCUUGGUCAGCACCUGAGACGUGCGUUACACAUGGUCAAUUUUUCAUGAUUUAUUGUUGUUGCUGUUUCCCACAAGGUACUUGAUAAAAAUGAUUGGCGUGUGGCGCUCUUCAAUGACUUGUUCUCUUUUGAAGAGCAAGCAGAGAGAGCAUGAGAGCGCCGUGAUUCUCCAAAUUCCUGCUCACUUCUAUAUCCAUAUAUUUGUUUUAUCUGGUUUUUUGGACUUAUUUUAUUAUCUUGUGUGCUACAUAAGAGGUGUCUUUGUGGAGCUUAAGAACAAUUUAUUUGGUUGGAGCAAACUAAUAUUGUAUUGCAAAGGGCCGGACAGCCAACCAGCUACAAAGGGACUGCCCAAUUUUAUCCAUGUGUUGGACUAGAUGAUAUUUGAUGAUUUGAACCUUGCAAUGAUAGGGUUUCCACAACACUAUGUAUGAUCUAAACAAUGGCUGGAAAUAUUUAUUGGAGCAUUUAUUUCAAACAACUUUGUUAAAAGAUAUUUCUAAUAUUUUAGUGGAUGCGAUAUAUUUUAGAUAGUAGUACUGCUUUAAUGUGGUGUGGUACAGAGUUUGCCUUCUGUUAUAAACUUCACACGCUUUGAAAGCAAGAUCAUGUUGUACAGGCGUGCAGUUGUGAGAAAUACAGUGGAUGGCUCCAUAUGAGUUCUCUAGCCCUCUAGAAUUAUGGAGUCAGGUGCAGACUCCGCUGAUGACGACGAUGGUUCGGUAGAGAUAGGCUUGCUCUGUAUUACAUAACUAUGUUCUGUUAGUCAAGUGUCAUUCUGAUGCAGGAGGCAGACGCUUCAAAAUCAUCUGCGGAGUAAGCGAUAGGAGGCCGUUGUGCAACAAAAGGUCAUGUAUAGACCAAUGCCGUUGGUACAAAAUCUCGAUCACAGCGUCCCAUAUCGUGAUCGCACAUCAGAGCUAGCCUACCAAUGUCAGAUGGCAUCGGUUUUACUACAGGGAUGUGGGUCAUCGGCCAUGACAAAAGAUGGUAUACAAAUAUUAUGGAUAAAAGAUGGCAGCAUAAACUUUGCAAUUUUAUGAUAUGUUAUCUGGAAGAUUUUUGCCAUGCGGUGGUCCAAUGAUUCUGGCUAUAUGCACUGGAGUUUAAUCCAUGUAUGUGAACUAAUUAGAUAUCUAUCUGUGUGAAUUUGGAGAUACUCCCUCCGUUCGGAAUUACUUGUCGUAGAAAUGGAUGUAUCUAGAUGUAUUUUAGUUCUAGAUAUAUCCAUUUCUGAGACAAGUAAUUCCGAACGGAGGAAGUAUGUGUUUGAGAUGAUUUGAGAGUUAAACAAACUUUAAGUGAGGAUCUUUAUAGGUGAGUCCCUAUACAUACAUUGAUGGGAAAUAUUUUAGGGGAUCUAUGAGAGUUUCUCUAAUUGCGGUUCAUAAUUCCUCGGAAGUCCUCCGAGCCAUACCUGUUUACGCCACACGACAAGAGCCGGCAAGGAGGUAGAGUUCACGAAGUACAUGUUUGACCGCGACAACUCCCAAGCAUGUGUAUCCGUACCUGAUGACGAGGUGACCAGGUGAAUACCACUCAUGAGAUGUGCGAACUUGGGAUGAGGAUAAGUAGAACACAUAUUAGUCGCAAGCGGGCGCAAGAAUUUUGUUUCCGUUGCAACUCACGACCACAUUUACUUGAUUAAACAUAAAUAGAAUAUUUUUAUAUUUGAGAGACGUGCACAUACUUACUAGUUAGUCUUAAACAUGAUAAUUGUUAGGAUUUAAUUAAUCCUAUUAAUCCCUACUUUUCCUAAAGGAGGCGGUUACCUCAUGUCCCUUCGGAAACAGUCCUUCAGGGGCUAUAUAUAUGUAACCUGUCAUCAAGAGAACAAGGAUUCACUUUUACU